rnacentral:rRNA from 1 species
UACAGAGGGUGCGAGCGUUGUCCGGAAUCACUGGGCGUAAAGGGCGCGUAGGCGGCUUGAUAAGCGUGCGGUGAAAGCCCGGGGCUCAACCCCGGGUCGGCCGUGCGAACUGUCGAGCUGGAGCACUGUAGAGGCAGGUGGAAUUCCGGGUGUAGCGGUGGAAUGCGUAGAGAAUCCGGAAGAACACCAGUGGCGAAGGCGGCUCACUGGUCCGGUACUGACGCUGAGGUGCGAAAGCGUGGGGAGCAAACAGG